rnacentral:tRNA from 1 species
AAGAAAUUUAGGUUAACCAACAAACCAAGAGCCUUCAAAGCCCUCAACAUGAGUAACCAACCUCCUAAUUUCUG